rnacentral:rRNA from 1 species
UUAUGAAACUUAACUAGUGCAUGCUAGGUAGGUCAAAGAUUUAUCGGUAUGGGAUGGGCCUGCGUCUGAUUAGCUAGUUGGUGAGGUAACGGCUCACCAAGGCGACGAUCAGUAGCCGACCUGAGAGGGCGAACGGCCACAUUGGAACUGAGACACGGUCCAAACUCCUACGGGAGGCAGCAGUGGGGAAUAUUGCACAAUGGGGGAAACCCUGAUGCAGCAACGCCGCGUGAACGAUGAAGGCCUUUGGGUCGUAAAGUUCUGUUCUAGGUGAUGAAAACUGACAGUAACUUAGGAGAAA